AGUUACAGAUAGUUGUGCCUGAUACACCAGCGAGGCAGCCACAAUCCUGUGGAGCACUCAGCAGACUGCUGCUGGCAUCCCACUUCAUCAGUACUGACUUCAUUCCAGCUUCAUGUGUGAAUUCCUUGCACACGGCAUCUUUGCCUACAGACCACGUUAUCUCCCUUCAAAUGAGUGUGUUGAUCAAAGCCACAAAGUUCAACAGCCACCUUUGAGCUCAGACUGUGCAGAUGGGGCAGAUACCAGAAAAAGACAACUCCUUCCAAACUGAGGGUCAAAUCUUCGUCUUGCCAUUUAAAUAAUAUUUAUGUUUGUUUUUCCAAAGAAAGUAUGGAUUUUAGCCUGACUGAUAUCAUUAAGCCUGAUUUUAUACUACUUAAUUAUCAACGUGCUCAUAGGGAGGGUUUCAGCUUACACCAGCUGGCAUUUUCCUAGGUCACGUCCAGAAGAGACACAAGGACACCCCUCCCAGGAGGCAAUAUGGACAACAUUCUCCUUCUUUGAAGAGUGAAGGAAAGGAGCAUUUCCCAUGCCACUUUUUUUUCUCAGGGUUUGCCCCUUCGCCUUUCUUUGCUGGCAUGGGUGUAGUUUGCACCCAGAUAAGACUUCCUGCAGAUCCCUGUACCCUACAGUGUUCAACAACAGAAGAAGUAAUUUUCUGCUAGGUUGAACAGGAGAGGAAACAAUUUGCUACUCAUGCCAUCACCCUUUGCGGAGCAAAAAUAUAGUGGGAUUAUGCUUGAGGCCUCCUCCUGAGUAAAAUGGAUCAUGCUGGGUGUGCACAAACUCACGUUACAGCUAUCUGUCUUCUUGCUUUAUGUGAAUUUCCUUUUCUUUUUUUUUCCUAAUUUUUGUUUCAUUUUGUAUAAUUUUGUUUAAGAUUAAAUAAUUGUGUCCAAUUAACAGAUUAUGUUUAUCUCUGUGCAACAUGAAAGUUGUAAGUCAGACAUUUAGGUACAAGAUGGGAAGUUUCAUAAUUACUUUUUGUAUGUUAUACCCGUGUGACAAUUUAUGUUGUAAAACCACUAUAUUUACAUUGUGUUAUAAUUAAAGGUUAUUUUUUAAGGUAUUUUAAAAGAUAUCCAUACAUGCCUCCUCUUGAGAUUGCUAACUUCUAUUAUCUUAAGCAUGUCAUAGAGGAAAUUUAUUAAAAAAUCCAGUGUUUGGCUUCUUUUUAUUUCCUUUGUGAUCCUGGUUUUGAUAAUCAUUAUUAAAGAAAUGUUCAGCUUAAUGGCUUUGCAGUAAAAAGUAACAGUGCCGUUGAGAGAAGAAGAGAUUUAUUGGAACCACAAUACAAAUAAAAAACUUUUGCCAAGUUUGGUGUUUUUC